rnacentral:rRNA from 1 species
UACAGAGGUGGCAAGCGUUGUUCGGAAUUACUGGGCGUAAAGAGCGCGCAGGCGGCUGGGCAAGUCCGAUGUGAAAGCUUCCGGCUUAACUGGAAAAUUGCAUCGGAAACUGCUCAGCUUGAAGGUGGGAGAGGGUAGCGGAAUUCCCGGUGUAGUGGUGAAAUGCGUAGAGAUCGGGAGGAACACCUGUGGCGAAGGCGGCCGACUGGGCCGACCCUGACGCUGAGGCGCGAAGGCGUGGGGAGCGAACGGG